GAAUUAUGUAGUAUGUGACGAUGCACAAAGGUUAUAGCAGAGUCCAGUUCUAUUGAUUCAACCUUAUCUUAGCAAAAGACCCAGAUCUUUGCACACGGUUGAUUCAAUAGGCAGCAGAAAGCCAGGCUUUUCCACAAGAGCUCCUUAUCGUACAGUGCGAAGAACCCUUAGGCCUACCUUAAAUCCUAUCUCAUCCCAAGCACCAGCCCUAUUAAGGCCUAUCACACCUUAACCCUAUCACAUGCCAAAGAUAUCAUUUGAGAUAAUCUAUUCCCCUAAAUUCAUUUUCUUGCAUUUAUCAAUCUGUUUUUUGAUUAGAGUGCAGCAACAACAGUCGCAUUUUCAAGAAAUGGAGAAUUUUUCGCUUCAGGUAGUGCCGAUGAACAGGUAAUGGUUUGGAAAACAAACUUUGACUCAGUCGAUUACAACGAAGUUUUAAAGGCUCACAGGAGACGGGUCGCCUCCCCGCCUUCAAAGCACGUUCAUGAUCCAGCUCCCAGAACCCCACCAAAGACACCCACUAGAACCAAAGAAGUAAGUAGAAUUUUAUGUUCUCUCUACAAUACACGUUUUUGCUGAUCGACUUUUUCCUUCAGUCAUUCACAGCUA